rnacentral:lncRNA from 1 species
UCAUACAGCUUGGGCACAGAAAGGAGUAAGGAAUAAAAGGUGAUAGAAAUAAGAUUUACAUUGAUAUAUUAGGUGAGGGUUACUGGCCGUGGUCUGCCUUUUCAGUGGAGUUAGAAGCUGCUACAGGAUAUUUUACCAGUUACAACCUAUGUAUGUGAGAAGGAGCCUCCUAUUGGGAACUUUUCCAAGGUCUAAUAAAGCUGUGCUUUGCUCUUUCUGACCUUGGCCCAGCGACAGGUAAGUCCCACAACUUCUACCACCUUAUAAACACUGAGAUGGGCCAUGAGAAAGGAAUAUAGAGGCUCUAUUUAGAGGAUUAGGUCAACAAGCAGGCAGAAAAAUGUCAAAACCACUAAUCUAAUUUACUGAUGCUCUUAAUGGGAGAAUAUAGGAAAAUUUUUUGCCAUGUACUACAAAUAUGCCUUCAGCAUCUUCAUCCAGAGAACCCCAAAGUUAAGGAAUUGCACAAAGAACAAGUAGUGUUACUGACCCAGGCAGAGAGUGGAAAUGAAGGGAAGAACUCAGAGGUGAGCUUGGGUAACAGGCUUCUCUCCUUUCCUUUCCUUUCUUUUCCCUUCCCUUCCCUUCCCUUCCCUUCCCUUCCCUUCCCUUCCCUUCCC